rnacentral:rRNA from 1 species
GUCGAGAAUCUUCCGCAAUGCGCGAAAGCGUGACGGAGCGACACCGCGUGAUGGAUGAAGUCCUUCGGGGCGUAAACAUCUUUUAUAAAGGAGGAAAUUUUUGACGUUACUUUAUGAAUAAGGGGCUCCCAAUCUCGUGCCAGCAGGAGCGGUAAUACGAGAGCCUCAAGCGUUAUCCGGAAUCAUUGGGCGUAAAGGGUGCGUAGGUGGUUUGAUUAGUCUCCCGUUAAAACUUCGAGCUUAACUCGAAAAGAGCGGGGGAAACGGUCCAACUAGAGUAUGUGAGAGGUGUGUGGAACUCAUGGUGUAGGGGUGAAAUCCGUUGAUAUCAUGGGGAACACCAAAAGCGAAGGCAGCACACUGGCACAUCACUGACACUGAGGCACGAAACCUAAGGUAGCGAAUGGGAUUAGAAACCCGAGUAGUCC